GGAUAGACCCAUCAAGAUUUUCCUCUUGGGCUCCCUACUUGUCUCCCGAGGACCAGAAUAAUUCUUAGAUUUUUUUUUAUCUUUUCUUCUCUUUUCAACCAAAAAGGCAUAGUUAUUAAAUCUUUUUGUUUUUCAAUUGAGUUCUCUUUCUUUGUCUUUGCAUUCGUCUGCAACCAGAGGUAAGUGUUUCGAGUGUAAGACAACAUAUUUGAUGUCUGAUUUCCAUCAAGAUAUAAAGUAAUGCAUAAGUGCGGGGUGGGACAAGACUCCAUUUUUUCUCAAUAAUUCAAAGCCUUAUUUCUUGGACUGUUAUAUCAUUACAUAAUUUUGAUUUGUGAUCAGUUACUAUACUGGAAAACUCAUAUUUUACUAUGAUGUUGUUAAUACAAGGAACUUUGAGGGACCUUUCAAAGACAACACUCCAACUGGGGCAGAAUCAAUUCUGUUAAUGCAGGGGAUGAGGUAAUUCACUCAUAACUAUUGUACGACUAAUUUUGUGCACUCUUUCUGAUAUUUGUGCUAUGCCGGAAUGAAAAUCUUGAGGCCUAACGGAUGGUUUCUGGAGCCGCAGAAAAUGGUAAUAUUUCAUCAUGAUGAAUUUGUGCCCGUAGCAUCUUGCAGUUUGAACUCUCAACCGGAUGGGUUUGAUUUUGUUAGCAAAAGGGACAAAUAAUACAACUUCAGUUAACCAUCACCCGUCAACAAAAUGGCCAUCCACAUCCAAUUUAAGAAAAAUAUGGCAAUGGUAUUGCCUUCAUACUUUUCUUUUUUACUCCUAGGGGUUGUGGGGUGGGGUGGGGUUGGGGGGGGGGGGUGCUGAGAGUCGAUCAACUAUGAAAUAUCAGUUUCUAUUUCAAGGCUGUUAUAUAAAACACUAUAAUAGAAUAAUCAACUUUCUUGUGGACUUAGUAUAUCAAUGUAGACCAUCAAUGGAAUGGACUAAGACAUUUUUUCUUUUUGCGUCAUUUGAGAGUCUCAAAUUGCGAUAAACAAUACCAUUUUUGUGAUUUGGACAAUAUGAAAUAUGAAGAUUGUUGAUACAAAACUUAUACAUUUGAGUAUGAACCGCCUUAUUAUCGGGAAAAAGUACGUUAA
rnacentral:lncRNA from 1 species